rnacentral:rRNA from 1 species
GAACGCGCUCCAUUCGGUAGCAAUACUGAUGAAGUGCGAGUGGCGAACGGGUGAGUAGCACGUGAGCAACCUGCCCCGAAGACCGGGACAACACCGGGAAACCGGUGCUAAUACCGGAUAUCCCUAUCGGACCGCAUGAUCUGAUAAGGAAAUGGAUUCCGCUUCGGGAGGGGCUCGCGGCCUAUCAGCUAGUUGGUGAGGUAACGGCCCACCAAGGCAUCGACGGGUAGCUGGUCUGAGAGGACGAUCAGCCACACUGGGACUGAGACACGGCCCAGACUCCUACGGGAGGCAGCAGUGGGGAAUCUUGCGCAAUGGGCGAAAGCCUGACGCAGCAACGCCGCGUGGAGGACGAAGGCUUUCUGAGUUGUAAACUCCUUUCAGCAGGGACGAUAGUGACGGUACCUGCAGAAGAAGCACCGGCCAACUACGUGCCAGCAGCCGCGGUGAUACGUAGGGUGCAAGCGUUGUCCGGAUUUAUUGGGCGUAAAGAGCUCGUAGGCGGUUUGAUUAGUCGGGUGUGAAACCUCCAGGCUCAACCUGGAGCCGCCACUCGAUACUGUCAUGACUAGAAUUCGGUAGGGGACCACGGAAUUCCUGGUGUAGCGGUGAAAUGCGCAGAUAUCAGGAGGAACACCAGCAGCGAAGGCGGUGGUCUGGGCCGACAUUGACGCUGAGGAGCGAAAGCGUGGGGAGCGAACAGGAUUAGAUACCCUGGUAGUCCACGCCGUAAACGUUGGGCACUAGGUGUGGGGACUAUUCAACGGUUUCGU